GCGCGAAGCCUCCGCAAUGCGAGCAAUCGCGACGGGGGACCCCAAGUGCCACUCUUAACGGGGUGGCUUUCUUAAGUGUAAAAAGCUUUUGGAAUAAGGGCUGGGCAAGACCGGUGCCAGCCGCCGCGGUAACACCGGCAGCCCAAGUGGUGGCCAUUUUAUUGGGCCUAAAGCGUUCGUAGCCGGCCUGAUAAGUCUCUGGUGAAAUCCCGCAGCUUAACUGUGGGAAUUGCUGGAGAUACUAUCAGGCUUGAGGUCGGGAGAGGUUAGAGGUACUCCCAGGGUAGGGUGAAAUCCUAUAAUCCUGGGAGGACCACCUGUGGCGAAGGCGUCUAACUGGAACGAACCUGACGGUGAGUAACGAAAGCCAGGGGCGCGAACCGGAUUAGAAACCCUGGU
rnacentral:rRNA from 1 species